ACAUCAUCUUGGUAAGUUAUCUUUUCCUAGGAGCUUGUCCAUUUUUAUGUAAGUCCUCAAAUUAACUGGCACAGUAUUUAUUAAAUUGAUUAGUAGGGUCGGGAGCAGUGGCUCAUGCCUAUAAUCCUAGCACUUUGGGAGGAAUAUGGGUAUGUGCCAUCAUACCUGGCUAAUUUUUAAAAUUUUUAGUAGGGACAAGGUCUGGCUAUGUUAUCCAGGCUGGUCUCCAACUCCUGAGCUCAAGUGAUCCAGCCUCCUAAAGUGCUAGGAUUUACAGGCAUUGAGCCAUCCUGCUGGGCCACAUUCAUAAAUCUGACAUAAAUAAAACAUCUAUCCUUUUAAAUAUAGGAAUUCACUGAAUUUAAAGAAAACAGCCACCAAGAAUAGGAAAUUUAAACAGCUUUGAACUAUAAAAUAUACAUUAUUUU
rnacentral:lncRNA from 10 species